rnacentral:lncRNA from 1 species
AGACGCAGCCGAGUAUCUUGAGGAGAAGGACUUUAAAGCGUUCAGGGAUUUUAGCUGCCGCUGUGGAGUUCCGCCGCUGUUCUUCCGCUGGAGGGCGCAGUAGUUCCUUAAGAGGGAAUGGUGCGGCGAAUAGCUGUGAGUUCAAAGUCCUGACUACAGAGUUUUGCUCUUGUUGCCCAGGCUGGAGUGCAAUGGCGCGAUCUCGGCUCACCGCAACCUCUGCUUCCCAGGUUCAAGCGAUUCUCCUGCCUCAGCCUCCUGAGUAGCUGGGAUUACAGGCAUGUGCCACCAAGCCCAGACAGAAUCUUGCCCUAUCACCCAGGCUGUAGUGCCGUGGUAUAAUCUUGGCUCGCCGCAACCUCCGCCUCCUGGGUUCAAGCCAUUCUCCUGCUUCAGCCUCCUGAGUAGCUGUGACUACAGGCGUGCACCACCACACCUGGCUAAUUUUUGUAUUUUUAGUAGAGACGGGGUUUCACCAUAUUGGCCAGGCUGGUCUUGAACUCCUGACCUCAAGUGAUUCACCCGCCUGGGCCUUCCAAAGUGCUGGGAUUACAGGCAUGAGCCACUGUGCCCGACCAUAACUCUAACAUUUUAUCAUCAAGAAAUGCUUGCUAUAUGUAUACAUACAUUAGAUUCACAGCCUGCAUAAGAGUUUGUGUGAUUUCUUACUUAGUAAAUACUGAGUGGUAAGGACAAUUCCAAAUUCAUCCCAUGAAAGUUAAUAGGGAAUUCCUAGCAGGUCAUAGGUCAGAUAGAAAAUCUGUCCUUCAUGAAACGCUGAGGACGUGCAAUUCCAAUUAAACCCACUCAAUCUGGAGAAAGAAAUCAAAGGGAGGGGGUGGGCCUGGAAAGAGUACAUCUUAUCUUCAGGUACUGUUUGUUUGAUUUUUUUUAAUACUUGGGGUUUGUUUCUGGGAAGAAUUCUUGACCUGGCAAAAAUUCAUAGUAAUUACUCAGGGGAAAGGAAAAAGAAGAAACAAACAAACAAAAAAUACAUUAAUGUGGUUGGAAAAAAAAUCUAAGAACAUGGUGUUGGUGGGAGAGAAGACUAAAUGUUUGUGGAAGACCCACCCAAGUGCUUUUGAUGUUUGACCAGUUAUUAUCUUAUUGUUCUUCCUGCUAUAGAUACAGCUGCAAUUUAUGUAACAGGAUGUUUAAAAAGAUUAAAGAGAAUCUGUAGUAGGGUUCUGAGAUGAUAAGAGUCCCUAGAAUAUGCAUUUAUGGACGUUUAGAAUAUAAGUUCCUGUACAUUCUUAGAAUAAACCAUCUAUUUGUUUCCUUUUUUAAAAAAGAAACAAACAAAAUUUGUAUUUCAGUAUGGCUGCUUCCUUCCAGCAAGUGAUAUGGAAUAACAGGCAAAGACAGCAAACCAAUAACAGAGCAAAGACAAGUUGGUGCUGGUUCAAACUGUGGCCCAUGCCGGUUCUUAAUUAGCUUUGAGCUUUGAGUCUAAAAUGUUUUAACUCUACAUUAUACACGUGUUUGGAAUUUAUUUGGAUUCAACCUGUUCAUCAGAAAAUGGGUUAUUCUAUGAUACAAGCAGGAUCAUUGUGUGAAAUUUAUGACUGCAAUCACCCAACGUGAAGAUGAAAGUUUAAACAUUUUUUUGCUAGAGGAGUUUUCAAAAAAAAAAAAAAAAAGUGUUCUAUAGAUGUCCCAAACAUACAGAGUGACUUACUGGCGUUUAAGUCUUUCUGCCAUGUGGAGUGCUAUCUUAAGUGAUAAAUUGGCACUGGGCACUUGAUAAAAGGUCAUUGGGCAUAUUCUCCAAGUUUCUGGUGUUAGUCAUGAAUUAAUUGCUUGUUAACUUUAAUUCUCCUAGCAACCUAGGCUAAUACCUACUGCACACUUGCUCUCUCUCUCUCACUGUAUUUCUGUGCAUGUGUAUGUGCAUAAUUUUUUUCUGAACUUGUUUCUGUUUGAUAAUAACUUACAGACAUGAUGCCCCUUUCCAUUAAGCACUUCAGUGGAUAUUUUCUUUUCUUUGUUUUUUUUUUUUUUUUUGAGACAGAGUUUUGCUCUGUCACCCAGGCUGGAGUGCAGUGGCGUGAUCUCAACUCACUGCAACCUCUGCCUCCUGGAUUCCAGCUAUUCUCCUGCCUCAGCCUCCAGGUAGCUGGGACUACAUGCAUAUGCCACCAUGCCCAGCUAAUUUUGUAUUUUUAGUAGAGACAGGGUUUCACCAUGUUGGCCAGGCUGGUCUCAAACUCCUGACCUCGUGAUCUGCCCGCCUCGGCCUCCCAAAGUGCUGGGAUUACAGGAGUGAGCCACCACGCCCCGCCAGUGUAUAUUUUCUAAAAACAAGGAUAUUCUCUUUCAUAACCACAAUUAUAAAAAUUAAGAAAUCAAUAUUGAUUCAAUAAUAUUUUCUAACCUACAGACCUCAUUUGAAUUUGCUCAAAUGUUCCAAUAAUGUCCAUUAUGGUAAAAUAAAUUCUAUAUCAUACAUUGUGUUCAGUUGUCAAGUGUCUUUAGUCUCCUUCAAUCUGGAAUAGAAUUUUCCACACUUCGUCUUUCACAACCUUGACAUAUUUGAGGAGUUACAGGCCAGUUGUUUUAUAGAGUGUCCCCUAACUUGGGUUGUCUGAUGUUUCUUCACGAUUACAUUCAGGUUAUGCAUUCUUAGCAGGAAUAGCACAGAAGUGAUGUUGUGACCCCUACAUAAUAUUAGUUGACUUGUUCCAUUACUGUUGAAGUUAACUUUGAUUACUUGGUUAAGGGGAUGUCUACCAGGUUUCUUCACUUUAAAAGGACUAUUUUUCCUUUUUUUUUUUUUUUUCUGAGACAGAGUCUUGCUCUGUCACCCAGGCAGGAGUGCAGUGGCACGAUCUCAGCUCACUGCAACCUCUGCCUCCCGGGUUCAAGCAAUUCUCCCACCUCAGCCUCCCAGGUAGCUGGGAUUACAGGCGCCCACCAUCACACCAGCUAAUUUUUUUUGUAUUUUUAGUAGAGAUGGGGGUUUCACCAUGUUGGCCAGGCUGGUCUUGAACUCCUGACCUCGUGAUCUGCCUACUUCAGCCUCUCAAAGUGCUGGGAUUACAGGCAUGAGCCACUGCACCUGGCCUUUACUUUUCCCUUAAUAGUUAACAAAUAUCUUGUGAGGAGAUACUCUGAGACUAUGUAAAUAUCCUCUUCCUCUGGCCGGGCGCCAUGGCUCAUGCCUGUAAUCCCAGCACUUUCGAAGGCCGAGGAGGGUGGAUCACCUGAGGUCAGGAGUUCGAGACCAGCCUGGCCAACAUGGUGAAACACCGUCUCUACUAAAAAUACAAAAAAAUUAGCUGGGCAUGGUGGCAGGCACCUGUAAUCCCAGAAUCCCAGCUACUCGGGAGCCUGAGGCAGGAGAAUCACUUGAACCAGGGAGGCGGAGGUUGCAGUGGCCAAGAUCGCGCUGCUGCACUCCAGCUUGGCAACAGAGCGAGACUCCGUCUUAAAAAAAAAAAAAAGGCCAGGCACGGUGGCUGAUGCCUGUAAUCCCAGCACUUUGGGAGGCUGAGGCGGGUGGAUCACCUGAGAUCAGGAGUUUGAGACCAGCCUGGCCAACAUGGUGAAACCAGUCUCUACUAAAAAUACAAAAAUUAGCCUGGCGUGGUUGCAGGCGCCUGUAAUCCCAGCUACUUGGGAGGCUGAGGCAGGAGAAUUGCUUGAACUCUGGAAGCGGAGGUUGCAAGGAGCCAAGAUUGUGGCAUUGCACUCCAGCCUGGGUUACAAGAGCAAAACUCUUGUCUCAAAAAAAAAAAAAAAAAAAAAAAAAAAGCCCUGGUUCCUUUAGGGAGAAUUGUAUUUAGAACAAUCUGGGUUCUAGGUGUACUAAUUUGUACUGGAGUAUCAUGGCUUGUAGGCCCUUUCAGAGGACAGACUAUCACACUAAUACACAAAUGCACACAUAUGCGCGCGCGCACACACACACACACACACACACAAAUUUAUAAAACUAUGUGCUCCCAUUGAUAUUUCCAAUUCUGAUCCAGCACUGCAGAGUUCAUUCUAGCCAUCCCCCUUUCCAUAUUUGUUUAUUUAUUUAUUUUGAGACGGAGUUUCACUCUUUUCGCCCCGGCUGAAGUGCUAUAUAGCACAAUCUCGGCUCACUGCAACCUCCACCUCCUGGGUUCAAGUGAUUCUCCUGCCUCAGCCUCCCGAGUAGUUGGGAUUACAGGCGCCUGCCACCACGCCCAGCUAAGUUUUUGUAUUUGUAGUGGAGAGGGGGUUUCGCCAUGUUUCACCAUGUUGUCCAGGCUAUACUAUACAUGGGUGAAGCAAUUAGAUAUAAUAGGGAGGAGUAGAGACUGUGGGGGGUGGGGAAUGGAAAUUGCAUGCCUCUUUUUUUUUUUUUUUUUUUAAGAUGGAGUCUUGCUCUUGUCGCCCAGGCUUCAGUGCAAUGGCGUGAUCUAGGCUCACUGCAACCUCCGCCUCCUGGGUUCAAGCAAUUCUCCUGCCUCAGCCUCCCAAGUAGCUGGGAUUACAGGUGCCCGCCACCAUGGCCAGCUAAUUUUUGUAUUUUUAGUAGAGAUGGGGUUUCACCAUGUUGGCCAGGCUGGUCUCCAACUCCUGACCUCAGGUGAUCCACCCACCUCGGCCUCCCAAAGUGCUGGGAUUACAGUCGUGAGUGCUGCACCCAUCCGAAAUUGCAUGCCUCUUCUAAAGACAUUAAAAAUAAUUUUAAGGGCUGGGCUUGGUGGCUCAUGCCUGUAAUCCCAGCAUUUUGGGAGGCCGAGGUGGGUGGAUCACCUGAGGUCAGGAGUUCGAGAACAGCCUGACCAACAUGGAGAAACCCCGUCUGCACUAAAAAUACAAAAUUAGCCAGGCAUGGUGCCACAUGCCUGUAAUCCCAGCUACUCGGGAGGCUGAGGCAGGAGAAUUGCUUGAACCCAGGAGGCAGAGGUUGUUGUGAGCCAAGAUCGCGCCAUUGCACUCCAGUCUUGGCAACAAGAGCAAAACGCUGUCUCAAAAAAAAAAAAAAAAAAAAAAAAUUUAAAACAGCAACAACAACAACACACGGUGCUAAUCAAAGAUGUCUGUGGGCUGAAUUCACUUCAAAGGCAGCUCCCAUUUGUGAACUUUAGCUUAGAUUUUACAAUUGUCUUUGUGAAUUAACAUUUGCCCUUGAAAGGUGUGUUUGCAUGUGUGGAUCUAGGUCAGUGUGUUCCAACAGUUACUGGCUGGACAAUUUUAAGGAUAAAGAAGCAUAUUUGUCACUCACAGUGGUGAGGAAACAAACACUUGGAGGGCCCAUGUACCCACCUGGGCUCUUCUGUGGCCUGGAAUACCAAAAGCUAUGACAAGUUUGCGAGAGUUGUCUGAAGCAUUUGGAGGUUUUUUUGACCAAAUAACUCAGACUUGGAGAAUGAACCACUGGGAGAGGCAAGAGAGAGUUCCCAGGAUGAGACCAACUCUGUGAGUAAUGACUGGAGGUUCCCAAAGGUAGGUGGAUGACCACACAGGAGAAGUUAGGAAAUGGCAGGACUGUCAGACCUGUGGGUAGGGUAAAAAGAUUAUAAAUUAGGUUUUCUACAAGGCAACCCCCUGGGAAGGAAGUAAUAUCUUGAUAGCUUUCCUGGGACAAUCAGAAAGGUCAUUUAGCAAGACCAUCACUGAUACUCUAAAACUUGGAUGUACAAAAAAUCCAUAACUUGAUCCAUUAGUAUGACUAAUCUCAUUUUGUUUCCCAACACCUGACUUCCUUUUAUGGUGGUAGUUGCAGGGCAAGGGACUCAUUUUGCUCGCCUCCCUUGUAGAGCCUUUGUGGUAAAAGUUCAUUAAGCUAAAACCAUAGUGACAUGAGAAAUUUGAGAGUGGAACACAGACUUUAUUCUUAAAGCAGUGAGUCUGUGUGGCCAUGAGUCUAGGUUCCUAAUGAAUGAGAUUAAGUGAAAGUAUUGAUGGGACUUCUAGGAAGACAGCUUAAAUAGAGCUCCUACCUAUCAAAUGCACUAUAAUUGUGCAACCAGAGCAGACUGUGUUAUGUUUAAUUUUUCCCUCUUCCUAAAAUAUUAUUUCCUUAAGUUACUUCAACGAUUCACUAAGUCUAAUAGACUUAUACUAUCUUAUGUGGUGAAGGUGUGGAGAAUGAGGGGAUAAAGAAUUAAAGAAAAAUGUGCCUUGCCUCACAUUUACUCUUUUGCUACACCCAUCACAGGGAAUAAUAUCCUACAAAAGAAAGUGUGUCCAGGAGUUUGGGGCAGUGAUCUGCAAUUAAGUGAGUGGGGACCCAUGAUGGAGCAGAUGGUUGGGGGAGAGCAUAUGAUGCUCCUGGGAACAGCAUGCAGUUUCCAAGUACUAGGGUGAUAACUCUGAAGGGACAUAAACCAAUAACCCUCCACCUCUCCACCUACACUAGAGUAAGGAGAGAGGCUAAUUCUAGCAGUAGUCAUGCUAAGUGGUAUUCUUUUUUUUUUUUUUGAGACAAAGUCUCACUCUCUCGACCAGGCUGGAGUGCAGUGGCACGAUCUCAGCUCACUGCAACCUCCACCUCCCAGGUUCAAGUGAUUCUCCUGCCUCAGCCUCCCGAGUAGCUGCGAUUACAGGCAUGCGCCACAACGCCUGGCUAAUUCUUGUAUUUUUAGUAGAAAUGGGGUUUCACCAUGUUGCCCAGGCUGGUCUGGAACUCCUGACCUCGUGAUCCGCCCGCCUCGGCCUUCCAAAGUGUUGAGAUUACAGGCAUGCCCAGCCCCCUAUUCUUUUAGUGUGCAUUAAAACCACAUAGGGGAUAUGACUGUUACUACGUUGGUAAAAUAUUAUAAGGGGGCCGGGCGCGGUGGCUCACACCUGUAAUCCCAGCACUUUGGGAGGCCGAGACGGGCGGAUCAUGAGGUCAGGAGAACAAGACCAUCCUGGCUAACACAGUGUAACCCUGUCUCUACUAAAAAUACGAAAAAUUAGCCGGAUAUGGUGGCUGGCGCCUGUAGUCCCAGCUAC